rnacentral:rRNA from 1 species
GACCGAUAGUGAACCAGUACCGUGAGGGAAAGGCGAAAAGAACCCCGGAGAGGGGAGUGAAAUAGAACCUGAAACCGUAUGCGUACAAGCAGUGGGAGCCUACUUGUUAGGUGACUGCGUACCUUUUGUAUAAUGGGUCAGCGACUUAUAUUCAGUGGCAAGCUUAACCGUAUAGGGUAGGCGUAGCGAAAGCGAGUCUUAAUAGGGCGUUUAGUCGCUGGGUAUAGACCCGAAACCGGGCGAUCUAUCCAUGAGCAGGUUGAAGGUUAGGUAACACUGACUGGAGGACCGAACCCACUCCCGUUGAAAAGGUAGGGGAUGACUUGUGGAUCGGAGUGAAAGGCUAAUCAAGCUCGGAGAUAGCUGGUUCUCCUCGAAAGCUAUUUAGGUAGCGCCUCAUGUAUCACUCUGGGGGGUAGAGCACUGUUUCGGCUAGGGGGUCAUCCCGACUUACCAAACCGAUGCAAACUCCGAAUACCCAGAAGUGCCGAGCAUGGGAGACACACGGCGGGUGCUAACGUCCGUCGUGAAAAGGGAAACAACCCAGACCGCCAGCUAAGGUCCCAAAGUUGUGGUUAAGUGGUAAACGAUGUGGGAAGGCUUAGACAGCUAGGAGGUUGGCUUAGAAGCAGCCACCCUUUAAAGAAAGCGUAAUAGCUCACUAGUCGAGUCGGCCUGCGCGGAAGAUGUAACGGGGCUCAAACCACACACCGAAGCUGCGGGUGUCACGCAAGUGACGCGGUAGAGGAGCGUUCUGUAAGCCUGUGAAGGUGAGUUGAGAAGCUUGCUGGAGGUAUCAGAAGUGCGAAUGCUGACAUGAGUAACGACAAUGGGUGUGAAAAACACCCACGCCGAAAGACCAAGGGUUCCUGCGCAACGUUAAUCGACGCAGGGUUAGUCGGUUCCUAAGGCGAGGCUGAAAAGCGUAGUCGAUGGGAAACAGGUUAAUAUUCCUGUACUUCUGGUUACUGCGAUGGAGGGACGGAGAAGGCUAGGCCAGCUUGGCGUUGGUUGUCCAAGUUUAAGGUGGUAGGCUGAAAUCUUAGGUAAAUCCGGGGUUUCAAGGCCGAGAGCUGAUGACGAGUCGUCUUUUAGAUGACGAAGUGGUUGAUGCCAUGCUUCCAAGAAAAGCUUCUAAGCUUCAGGUAACCAGGAACCGUACCCCAAACCGACACAGGUGGUCGGGUAGAGAAUACCAAGGCGCUUGAGAGAACUCGGGUGAAGGAACUAGGCAAAAUGGCACCGUAACUUCGGGAGAAGGUGCGCCGGCUAGGGUGAAGGAUUUACUCCGUAAGCUCUGGCUGGUCGAAGAUACCAGGCCGCUGCGACUGUUUAUUAAAAACACAGCACUCUGCAAACACGAAAGUGGACGUAUAGGGUGUGACGCCUGCCCGGUGCCGGAAGGUUAAUUGAUGGGGUUAGCGCAAGCGAAGCUCUUGAUCGAAGCCCCGGUAAACGGCGGCCGUAACUAUAACGGUCCUAAGGUAGCGAAAUUCCUUGUCGGGUAAGUUCCGACCUGCACGAAUGGCGUAACGAUGGCGGCGCUGUCUCCACCCGAGACUCAGUGAAAUUGAAAUCGCUGUGAAGAUGCAGUGUAUCCGCGGCUAGACGGAAAGACCCCGUGAACCUUUACUGUAGCUUUGCACUGGACUUUGAGCCUGCUUGUGUAGGAUAGGUGGGAGGCUUUGAAGCGUGGACGCCAGUUCGCGUGGAGCCAUCCUUGAAAUACCACCCUGGCAUG